GACGAACGCUGGCGGCGUGCUUAACACAUGCAAGUCGAACGGAAAGGCCCUGCUUUUGUGGGGUGCUCGAGUGGCGAACGGGUGAGUAACACGUGUGUAACCUGCCCUUGACUUUGGGAUAACUUCAGGAAACUGGGGCUAAUACCGGAUAGGAGCUCCUGCUGCAUGGUGGGGGUUGGAAAGUUUCGGCGGUUGGGGAUGGACUCGCGGCUUAUCAGCUUGUUGGUGGGGUAGUGGCUUACCAAGGCUUUGACGGGUAGCCGGCCUGAGAGGGUGACCGGCCACAUUGGGACUGAGCUACGGCCCAGACUCCUACGGGAGGCAGCAGUGGGGAAUAUUGCACAAUGGGCGGAAGCCUGAUGCAGCAACGCCGCGUGCGGGAUGACGGCCUUCGGGUUGUAAACCGCUUUCGCCUGUGACGAAGCGUGAGUGACGGUAAUGGGUAAAGAAGCACCGGCUAACUACGUG
rnacentral:rRNA from 1 species